GUAUCUGCAAGGUAUUAACCGAAGACAGCAGGUAUCUAUAGCUUCCAUGGUCGUAUAUCGCAGUUUUUCUGCAUCGAACGAAAAGCUAAAGGAUCUAAAGAGCAAUCGCCCGCCGAGGAAAGAAUAAAGGAUUGGCUUCAGAAAUGAAGCAUGGAAUUCGUAUUUUCAUCCCCUGUCUUUGGCAGGGGAUUUUUUAAUUCUUAC
rfam:Oribacterium sp. ACB1 genomic scaffold acqcx-supercont2.1, whole genome shotgun sequence.